UUCAAUCAUACGCUGUCUCCUCUCUCUCCCCAUUCUCGCAAAAUAACCAUAGAGAUAUCAUCUAACCCUAAUCCAUCCUGUGCACGAGGUUUCUCUCACUAAAAUCUUCCUCACCACUUUUCAUUCUCAUCUAACCCUAAAAUUAUCAUCCUCUGAGUUUCUCUCACUGAAAGAUCAUCGGCGACGACUUCAAUCCAAGCUUUCCAUCAUCAAUCAACGUAUAUCAAGACUCUAAAUCGACGGUAGUUUCUAUUUUUUGGCUGGAUUGUUUUAUUUUGUGGUUCGAUUGGUGUGAUUUCCAUAAGGUUCUAUGUUUUUUUUGUUCUUUCAAUCGACUGUGAUAGCAUUAAGUUUAGUUGAUGAUCGAUUAAUGUAUUCAAUUUAGUAUUCUCUGAUUUACUUUUGUUUUGGUAUUGAUUUUGGAUAUAUAUUCGGCUUCAUCCGAUUUUGGUUAAUGGUUGAAUGUUCUUUAGGGUUUAUAAAUCCACGGUCAGAUUAUGAACAUGAUUUUUUUUCUAUUUUGAUUUUGGUUAAUGAUUCAAUUUUAUUUAGGGUUUAUAAUCCUAGGUGAUAGUGCAGGGUUUCUUUUAUGUUUCCUUUUUGUUUGUAAUGUGCAGGGUUCCUUUCCAACAGUUUACCAGCUUUUGCCUUUUCUUUUGUGUAUAAAUGGUUCAUGUGAAGUAAAUGGCAAGGAGGAUAGUAAAUCACAGGCUCGUGGUGAUGAGGAUGACGAUGACAAAAUCUCUCCCUUCCUCUGCGACGAUUUGGUUCGAUAUUAUUAGGGCUAUCAUCCAAUUAACUUGAGGUUAGUGCAUUACGUAUCUAAUUAUUAAUAUAUUGUUGAUUUAUCUUAUUGAUUCGUAUUAGGAUCUUAAUUUUUAAAUGGUGGAUUUAUAAAGAGGCAUGAGUGGAGUAGGUGGUUUGAGUGGGAAAAUCCGGUCGAAGAUGUGCUGACAGUGGGUAUGGGUGGCGAUGAUUGUGAGCCAUUUGAGAAUCCUCGCAAUCAACAAUAUGGCGGUGGAGAUCUUGAAAUGGGAACACAACAUAACGCGAAUUCUGGAGAAUUAGGGUUGUUGGAUGAAUUCUUCAAGAAGGUUCAAUCCAUUGAGAAACAAUAUGAGAAGUUGAAUAAACUACUAAAAAAUUACAGGAUGCCCAUGAGGAGUCAAAGGGUGUAACCAAGGCUGCUGCUAUGAAAUCAACACAUGGAGAAAGAUGUUGACGAAGUUGGAAAAGUUGCACGGUUUAUUAAAUCAAAAAUUGAGGAACUUGACAAGGAGACAGAAACCCGGGUGUGGAAAAGGAACAAGAGUAGACCGAUCAAGAACCGUAACCACAAUUUCACUGAAGAAAAAGUUUAAAGACAAGAUGUCUGAAUUUCAGGCUUUAAGAGAGACAUUUAUCAAGAGCACCGUGAAGUGGUCGAGAGGCGUAUUUAUAAAGUGUCAAUUUUUUGGCUGCAAGUCAUUGAUAUCGAAGACAAGGAGAUCAAAGAACUAACUGGAUUCAGGGUUUUUGUUAUUGCUGAGAGGCAUGAGUGGAGUAGGUGGUUUGAGUGGGAAAAUCUGGUUGAAGAUAGGCUGUCAGUGGUAUGGGCGGCGAUGAUUGUGGGCCAUUUGUAGUAAAGGAGGAGGAUUUUCAGUUUCAUUCCAGGGUAGGACUGAUCGGUUGGAAUUGUAGCUCUCAUUACAGUAAGUAAUUUUGUCAUUCCUCCUAAUACCAUCAUUAUAGAACCAUCAUUAUAGAACUAUUAUAGAACUGUAGAUUGCUGUGAAUAGGUUCUGACAUUUUCAAUAUAUGAGAUGGUUUUUGAAUCAGAGUAAUAAGGUAUGUGUAGGUGAAACUGAAACUAUGUCAAUUAUCUUAAUAUUUAGAUGUAAAAUACAAUUAAUUUGUUACUUUUUGUUAUUGACAAGUCAAAUGAACAGGCUAGGAAUGACGCUAUCUUUAGAGGUCUUCAAGCAUCAGUGGGGAAGAUAGUCGAGAAGGUUAAAAGAAUGAGCUUUCUUGGGAUAAAAGCCCGAGCAAAGGAUCAAUCGCUCAACUGGGAAGAUUGGUGCAGGUUUGACAUCUUUAGGGACAAUGGGUAGCUUGUGUUGGCAUAGGGUUUUGUUUAUUGUAAGCUUCUGUUUUUGUUUUCAGUUUGGUGUAAGUUUCCGUUUGGUGGAUGUAUGUUUGGCGCUAGCGCCUUGCUAGAAUUUGAAUAAAGUUUAUGUUGGUUGUUCAAAAAAAAAA